GAACAAGCAAGAGAUGGCAAUUCCAGACAUAAAGAAACCAUGCUCUUCGCCAAAGCAAGCAGCUCAAGGAAUUGGAUGGCUGAUUGUAAUGGACUUCAAGAGUGUGCACAAAUACUAUCAAAUAACUCCAAUAGCAGAGACUGUUUGAGCACAGGAUGUGGAUUACAAGCUGUUGGUUCAAAGAGAAAACAACCUGGUAUUGAACAGGCAGAUAACGGCAACAUCAAUCUGAUAGGAGCACAAUAUAAUGCUAUGCAAGCAUACUGCCUAGACUACGGUGUUCAAUUUCCAAAUGUUCAGAAGAAAAGGAGAACUGAAAAUGGGAGAAUUUCGAAGACACCACGUAAAUCUUCUGUGACUGACCUAAAAGAUGUACGACUGGCAACUUUCGUAUCACAUCCUUAUGUGUCAAGUCACAACAGCUGGUAUUCUGGUUCAGAAUAUAAUGCAGCAGGACUCCCAGAAAGAGCUAUUCAUGAUAAACUUCAACCCCUUGAGUGCACCUUGUCUUU
rnacentral:lncRNA from 1 species